AACGAACGCUGGCGGCAGGCUUAACACAUGCAAGUCGAGCGAAUGGAUUAAGAGCUUGCUCUUAUGAAGUUAGCGGCGGACGGGUGAGUAACGCGUGGGUAACCUGCCCAUAAGACUGGGAUAACUCCGGGAAACCGUGGCUAAUACCGGAUAACACUUUGAACCGCAUGGUUCGAAAUUGAAAGGCGGCUUCGGCUGUCGCUUAUGGAUGGACCCGCGUCGCAUUAGGUAGUUGGUGAGGUAACGGCUCACCAAGGCAACGAUGCGUAGCCGACCUGAGAGGGUGAUCGGUCACACUGGGACUGAGACACGGCCCAGACUCCUACGGGAGGCAGCAGUAGGGAAUCUUCCGCAAUGGACGAAAGUCUGACGGAGCAACGCCGCGUGAGUGAUGAAGGCUUUCGGGUCGUAAAACUCUGUUGUUAGGGAAGAACAAGUGCUAGUUGAAUAAGCUGGCACCUUGACGGUACCUAACCAGAAAGCCACGGCUAACUACGUGCCAGCAGCCGCGGUAA
rnacentral:rRNA from 1 species